rnacentral:rRNA from 1 species
GAUGAACGCUGGCGGCGUGCCUAAUACAUGCAAGUCGAGCGAACGGACGAGAAGCUUGCUUCUCUGAUGUUAGCGGCGGGCGGGUGAGUAACACGUGGAUAACCUACCUAUAAGACUGGGAUAACUUCGGGAAACCGUAGCUAAUACCGGAUAAUAUUUUGAACCGCAUGGUUCAAAAGUGAAAGACGGUCUUGCUGUCACUUAUAGAUGGAUCCGCGCUGCAUUAGCUAGUUGGUAAGGUAACGGCUUACCAAGGCAACGAUGCAUAGCCGACCUGAGAGGGUGAUCGGCCACACUGGAACUGAGACACGGUCCAGACUCCUACGGGAGGCAGCAGUAGGGAAUCUUCCGCAAUGGGCGAAAGCCUGACGGAGCAACGCCGCGUGAGUGAUGAAGGUCUUCGGAUCGUAAAACUCUGUUAUUAGGGAAGAACAUAUGUGUAAGUAACUGUGCACAUCUUGACGGUACCUAAGCAGAAAGCCACGGCUAACUACGU